rnacentral:tRNA from 1 species
GGGGUUGUGGCUCAGCGGUAGAGCACUCACCUAGCAUGUGGCCUGGGUUCAAUCCUCAGCACCACA